UGGGGAAUUUUGGACAAUGGGCGCAAGCCUGAUCCAGCCAUGCCGCGUGCGGGAAGAAGGCCUUCGGGUUGUAAACCGCUUUUGUCAGGGAAGAAAUCUUCUGAGUUAAUACCUCGGGAGGAUGACGGUACCUGAAGAAUAAGCACCGGCUAACUACGUGCCAGCAGCCGCGGUAAUACGUAGGGUGCAAGCGUUAAUCGGAAUUACUGGGCGUAAAGCGUGCGCAGGCGGUUUUGUAAGACAGAGGUGAAAUCCCCGGGCUCAACCUGGGAACUGCCUUUGUGACUGCAAGGCUUGAGUGCGGCAGAGGGGGAUGGAAUUCCGCGUGUAGCAGUGAAAUGCGUAGAUAUGCGGAGGAACACCGAUGGCGAAGGCAAUCCCCUGGGCCUGCACUGACGCUCAUGCACGAAAGCGUGGGGAGCAAACAGGAUUAGAUACCCUGGUAGUCCACGCCCUAAACGAUGUCAACUGGUUGUUGGGAAGGUUCCUUCUCAGUAACGUAGCUAACGCGUGAAGUUGACCGCCUGGGGAGUAC
rnacentral:rRNA from 1 species